UUACCUACGGGAGGCAGCAGUGAGGAAUAUUGGUCAAUGGGCGCAAGCCUGAACCAGCCAAGUCGUGUGAGGGAUGACGGUCCUAUGGAUUGUAAACCUCUUUUGUCGGGGAGCAAGGCCCGCCACGUGUGGCGGGAAGGAGAGUACCCGAAGAAAAAGCAUCGGCUAACUCCGUGCCAGCAGCCGCGGUAAUACGUAGGAUCCGAGCAUUAUCCGGAGUGACUGGGGGUAAAGAGUUGCGUAGGUGGCAUAAUAAGUAGCUAGGGAAAUCUGGUGGC
rnacentral:rRNA from 1 species